GAUGAACGCUGGCGGCGUGCCUAAUACAUGCAAGUCGAGCGAACAGACGCGGAGCUUGCUCCUCUGACGUUAGCGGCGGACGGGUGAGUAACACGUGUAUACCCUACCUAUAAGACUGGUAUAACUUCGGGAAACCGGAGCUAAUACCGUAUAAUAUCUUGAACCGCAUGGUUCAAUAGUGAAAGACGGCUUUGCUGUCUCUUCUAGAUGCAUCCGCGCCGCAUUAGCUAGUUGUUAAGGUAACGGCUUACCAAGGCAACGAUGCGUAGCCGACCGGAGAGAGGGAUAGGCGACAUGGGAACUGAGACAGGGUCAAGACGACUAAGGGAGGCAGCAGAAGGGAAUGGGACGCAAUGGGCGAAAGCAUGACGGAGCAACGCGGAGUGAGAGAUGGAGGUGUUGGGAGCGUAAAAAUGUGUUAUUAGGGAAGAACAGAUGUGGAAGGAGAUAAAGAGGUAGUGACGGUAACGAAUCAGAAAGCAACGGCUAACUACGUG
rnacentral:rRNA from 1 species